rnacentral:lncRNA from 1 species
UUUUGACCAAGCGAUAGGAUGAAUAUUCUUUGGUGAAAACCAAAGAAAGUUCGUCAAAAUUUCAGAUGGAUUGUGGCGGCAGGAUGUAGAACCGAUCUUACGCCUCACCUUGUAAAGUGGUGGCAAAUAUCUUGCACUUGAGAUCAUCGUUGUUUUGAUAGAGGAUCAUUGCGCUUCGGUAGUGCUUUAAGUGUCUCUCCGGGUCUUCAUCCUUUUUGAAAGAUGUGAAAUGUGGCAUACUGAACUCGCGUGGAGGCUCUGCCUGCUCGAUCUUGUCCGUGAAGGGUGACCUGCUUAUGUUGGUCAUGUUCCGUCGUAAUGCCUUAUCGGUGACCUUAUUGCGUUGGAAAUUGCGCAAUCACUUAGUCAAGAAU